UCUAGCAAUCUCAAAACUUUUAUUCAUUUUAAGUUUUAAUUGUGAAUAAUAAUCAUCAUAUGUAUACUUAAAUUCUGGUUUUGAAGUAAGAUAAUUUGGAAUUGCGGCUUUAUGUCCAAAAAGUAAUUCAAAAGGGCUAUAUUUGGUAGAUUUAUGGAAAUGUGUAUUAUAAGUAAACAUUGCUAAAAAGACAUAUUCAUCCCAAUCGUUUUGUUGAGAAUUGGUAUAAUGUUUUAAGUAGUCCUUUAGUGUAAGGUUGAAUCUUUCUGGCGCACCAUUGGUUUGUGGGUGGUAAGGGCUUGAAAGGAUAUGUUUGAUUUUAAAUAACUUGUUCAGUUCUUUUAUAAGAUUCGAGGUGAAGGCGGUUCCUCGAUCGGAUAGUAUCGUUUCUGGAAUGCCAAAUAGACAAAUGAAUUGGAGUAAAUUAUCGGCAAUUGUUUUUGCUUCAUGGUUAACAGUUGGAAUAGCGUAAGAAUAUUUUGUUAAAUCGUCUUGCAUUGUAAGGAUAAAACGAUUUCCGGACUCAGUGAUAGGCAAGGGGCCUACUAUGUCGAGAGCUAAUCGUUGGAAAGGUCUUUCGCUAGUUGUGGUGAUUUCCAUUGGAGCUUUGCUAGUUUUGUUGUUUAAUUUAUUUAGUUGACAAGAUUUACAAUUUUUUAUACAUUUUUUAAUAUCAUUUUUCAUAUUAGGCCUCUUAUAAUUUUCUUUGAUCCUUUUAUAAGUGCGAAGGAAACCAGAAUGUCCCGAAAUUGCAGAGGUGUGGUUUUCUUGAAAUAUAUUCUGAAUUUUGUCUCGAUUUUCAGGUUUAUAUCUUGGUUUAUUGACUAGAAUAAUUUGUAUUUUAUAUUUCGAAAAUAAAAAGUUUAGCAUUUCAUUAAACAUUUCUUGCUUUAUGUUUGGAUUAUUCUCAAUGGGAUUAUUCACGUGAAGAAGUUUAAUUUUCUUUUUAAUGAGUAAGAUUCUUAAAUUUUGUAAAGAAUAGAAUAAAUCAUUAUAGGUAAGUUUAUCGAAAUGAUUUAGUUUUGUUAUUAAAAGAAAUGCAUGUUUGUUAUUAUUUUCUAAUAGUAUUGCGUCAUAUAGGUUUAUUUUGUCAGGGUUUAGUUUGUUCAGGUCGAAAUGACAUGCGAGAUUUUCAGAACAGGGAUUAUUUUCAUCUAGAUCUUUAGAGUAAAUAAUGGCAUUAGGAAAUUUCGAAAAUAGGGUUUCUUUCAUGAUUUCAAUAUUAGGGAUUUUUGUAGUUUGAUAAUGGAAUUUUAUAAAUUCUUCAUACGAUUCUGCGUUGAUUGGAAAGCAUGAUUUGAUUAGAUUAAUAGAGUUUGUUGGAUUUCGUGAAAGUGCGUCAACAUUAGAAUUUAUUCUUCCGGGUUUGUAUUUUAUUUCAUAGGUGUCGUCAAGUUUUAAAUAACCAGGUUAAAGGACGGUGGUCUGUUAAAAUAGUGAAUUUUCUACCAUAUAAAUAAGGACGAAAAUAUUUAGUUGCCCAAACAAUAGCAAGGAGUUCUUUCUCGACUACUGAAUAAUUUGUUUCAGCUUUAUUUAGGGUACGAGAAGCAUAGGAAAUUGGAAGAUCUUUUCCUACUUCGCCUUGGGAAAGAACAGCGCCAAUCGCAUAAUUAGAUGCGUCGGUAGUUAGUAUAAAAUAUUGUGAAAAAUCUGGGUAUUGAAGUAUGGGGUUUAACAUUAGAAUGUUUUUGAAAUGAUUGAACUAAUUAGAAUGUUCCUCAGACCAGUUAUAAGGAGUAUCUUUCUUAAGAAGAUUAGUUAGGGGCUUAGCAAUCUUGGAAAAAUCUUUGAUAAAUCUUCGAUAAUAACCGAUUAAUCCUAGGAAUUGUUUGAUUUGUUUCGGAUUUUUGGGUACGGGAUAGUCUUUCAAGCUUUAGUUUUGUCUGGAUUCGGAAGGAUUCCAUGUUCAUUUAUGACAUGACCUAGAUAGACUACUAAAUUCGCAUUUAUCUGGUUGGAAGGGGAGAUUGUUUGAACGUAAGCGUUCGAAUACGUUUCGGAAUUUUGCUAUCCAAAUAUACGAAGCAUUGUAAUCCUUGGAAGCCAGUUAAAGCAAUAUUCAUAAGACGUUUAAAGGUACUAGGAGCAUUUUUUAAGCCAAAGGGCAUGCGAAGAUAUUCAUAAUGACCAUUAGGGGUAGAAAAUGCCGUUUUAGGAAUGUCGGCUUCUGCCAUUUUAAUUUGGUGAAAUCCGGAUGCUAAGUCAAGAGUUGUGAAAUAUUUAGAAUGACCAAGUUGAUCAAGAAUGUAAGAAUGUCCUCGAUAUUAGGCAAAAGAGUAGCGUUGAAGAUGGUUACAUCAUUAAAUUUUCUAUAAUCUACUACAAUUCGCAUUUUCGUUCGUCAGAUGCGUCUAAUUUUUUAGGAACUAUCCAUAAAGGACUAUUGUAUGGUGAAAUUGAUUCCCUUAUUAUUCCUUGUUGAAGCAUUUUAGCGAUUUGUUUAUUUAAUUCUUUUUUAUGGAUUUCAGGAAAUCUGUAAAUUUUGGAAGUUAUAGGAGUUUUAUCUGACACAGUAAUUUCGUGCUUAAGCAAAUCUGUGGUGCUUAAAAUGUCAUCAGGUAAAUAAAAUAUGUCAUUAAAUUCGGAACAAAGACUUUGAAUUGAAUGUUUUUCUUCUAAAUUUAAAUGAUUUAAACGUAAGUUUUCUUUAAGAGUUUUGAGUCUUUUGGAGAUAUUUAUUUCGUCUUUCUUUUUAGUGACUAGAAUUCUUGAAUUUGAUUUGAUAGAUUUAAUUUGAUUUUUUUAAUUUUUAUAGGUUUUUCUGUAGUAUUUAAGAUCGUGGUGACGGCUUUGCCAUUCUUUACUGAUACUAAUGAUCUUGCUAAAUAAAUUCCAUUCGUAAUUUUUAUUUCAGGGCAAAUACCUGUGGUCAUUUCUUUAUUAAUUAUUUCGAUUUCAAUUAUUGUUUCGCUUCUAGGCUGAAUAAUGAAUGAUUCUUCAAUGAAAUCUUCUUUCUUAUUUAGGUGAGCAAUUUUUAUUGGAUUCAAUAGAGAUUUGAGUUUGAGCUCACAAUUAGUUAGGUCGAUAAUAGCGCCUUGGGCUGAUAGAAAGUCAUUCCCGAUGAUACCAUCAUAGGGUAUAUUACUGUUUUGGUAGACUAUGUAGAAUUUUAUAGGUAAUUCAUUGUUCAUAACAUCGCGGUUAACUGAGCAACUACCUAUAGUUUCUACUGGAGAGUUUGGGCUUAACCCAUUAAGUAGGAUUUUAUCCUCUUGAUCGACUAUUAAAUUUUAGAAUGUUUAUAUUUUCUUUUAAAAGGGAUACUGAUGCACCCGUAUAUAUUAGAAAUCGAAAUGAUUGACCAUUGAUAUAAGAAUGCAGGUAUGGAUUUUUAUCAUCAUUAGUUAAGAAUAUUUUAUAAUUAUUAAUAAGACGUGAUUUAAUCUUUGGUAUAGGUUUUAAAAUACUACAGAUUUUCUUUUCGCCGAUUUUGUUUAUUGCCAUUCCCAAGAAACGACGUCGUUCUGGGAACUUUGUGGGUUUAAAGAUUCUGACUCUACUGGAAAUGCUCGUGAAUCUACUGGAAAAGCGUGCAAAGUUUGAUCACUAGGUUUGUUAUUAUUAUUGUUACAAUUUCGGUUCUUCCUUUUAUAGCAAUCGGCUAUAAGAUGUCCUGAUUUUUUGCAAUACUUGCAAAAUUUUGGAGAGCUCGCGUGAUUGUUGAAAUUUUUAUUUUCUGGCUUGUUAAAGUGAAUGUUUGUUUGUAUGAGAUUUGCUUUUACAGAAAUUGCAUAUGUGGGGUCAAUGAGUAACCCCGAUUAUUAUUUCGUAACUCUUUCAGGGAUAAUUACUACUGAGCCAAAAUAAAAUAAGAUAAUUAAAA